rnacentral:lncRNA from 1 species
UUUACUUCAUGAUACAUUCGGCCGUGGCAACAAUUUCAUUAGAAAUCCUUAUUAGCCACUUCAUCAAUCAAUUAUAUCAUCUACUUAAUAUUUCAUAACUUAUCAUGCUAGCUGAAUAUUAUUUAUUCAAGUUCAUCAUCUUCAUAUUCGGCAUUAGCAUCAAAUAUAAUAGCCCAUUUCUUCCCACUUUGAAUCUAUGCAUCC